CCUACGGGGGGCUGCAGUCGAGAAUCUUCGGCAAUGGGCGCAAGCCUGACCGAGCGACGCCGCGUGCGGGAUGAAGGCCCUCGGGUUGUAAACCGCUGUCAGUUGGGAGGAAAUCACAUGGGGUUCUCUCCAUGUGUUGACCUAUCUUCAGAGGAAGGACGGGCUAAGUUCGUGCCAGCAGCCGCGGUAAGACGAACCGUCCAAACGUUAUUCGGAAUUACUGGGCUUAAAGGGUGCGUAGGCGGCUUCGCAAGUUGGGUGUGAAAUCCCUCGGCUCAACCGAGGAAUGGCGCCCAAAACUGCGGAGCUCGAGGGAGACAGAGGUGAGUGGAACUUGUGGUGGAGCGGUGAAAUGCGUUGAUAUCACAAGGAACACCGGUGGCGAAAGCGGCUCACUGGGUCUUUUCUGACGCUGAGGCACGAAAGCUGGGGGAGCGAACGGGCUUAGAUACCCGUGUAGUC
rnacentral:rRNA from 1 species